UGACUUUGAGGAAACAGCGAAGACCC
rnacentral:piRNA from 1 species